rnacentral:rRNA from 1 species
GAUGAACGCUGGCGGCGUGCCUAAUACAUGCAAGUCGAGCGAACAGACGAGGAGCUUGCUCCCCUGACGUUAGCGGCGGACGGGUGAGUAACACGUGGAUAACCUACCUAUAAGACUGGGAUAACUUCGGGAAACCGGAGCUAAUACCGGAUAAUAUAUUGAACCGCAUGGUUCAAUAGUGAAAGACGGUUUUGCUGUCACUUAUAGAUGGAUCCGCGCCGCAUUAGCUAGUUGGUAAGGUAACGGCUUACCAAGGCAACGAUGCGUAGCCGACCUGAGAGGGUGAUCGGCCACAAUGGAACUGAGACACGGUCCAGACUCCUAGGGGAGGCAGCAGUAGGGAAUCUUCCGCAAUGGGCGAAAGCCUGACGGAGCAACGCCGCGUGAGUGAUGAAGGUCUUCGGAUCGUAAAACUCUGUUAUUAGGGAAGAACAAAUGUGUAAGUAACUAUGCACGUCUUGACGGUACCUAAUCAGAAAGCCACGGCUAACUACGUG